UUCCAUGCAGUCGAGCGGUAGCACAGAGAGCUUGCUCUCGGGUGACGAGCGGCGGACGGGUGAGUAAUGUCUGGGAAACUGCCUGAUGGAGGGGGAUAACUACUGGAAACGGUAGCUAAUACCGCAUAAUGUCGCAAGACCAAAGUGGGGGACCUUCGGGCCUCAUGCCAUCAGAUGUGCCCAGAUGGGAUUAGCUAGUAGGUGGGGUAACGGCUCACCUAGGCGACGAUCCCUAGCUGGUCUGAGAGGAUGACCAGCCACACUGGAACUGAGACACGGUCCAGACUCCUACGGGAGGCAGCAGUGGGGAAUAUUGCACAAUGGGCGCAAGCCUGAUGCAGCCAUGCCGCGUGUGUGAAGAAGGCCUUCGGGUUGUAAAGCACUUUCAGCGGGGAGGAAGGCGAUAAGGUUAAUAACCUUGUCGAUUGACGUUACCCGCAGAAGAAGCACCGGCUAACUCCGUGCCAGCAGCCGCGGUAAUACGGAGGGUGCAAGCGUUAAUCGGAAUUACUGGGCGUAAAGCGCACGCAGGCGGUCUGUCAGUCGGAUGUGAAAUCUCCGGGCUCAACCUGGGAACUGCAUUCGAAACUGGGGGGUUAGAGUCUUGUU
rnacentral:rRNA from 1 species